GACGAACGCUGGCGGCGUGCCUAAUACAUGCAAGUCGAACGCAGUGGGGACGGGUGAGUAACACGUGGGUAACCUCACAUCAGAGGGGAUAACACUUGCAAACAGGUGCUAAACCGAUACGGCUGGAUGGACCCGCGGUGCAUUAGCUAGUUGGUGAGGUAACGGCGCACCAAGGCCACGAUGCAUCGCCGAGCUGGGAGGGUGAGCGGCCAAACGAGGACUGAGCGACGGCCGAGUCUCCUACGGAGAGCAGCAGGAGAGAAUCUUCGGCAAUGGACGAAAGUCAGACCGAGGAAUGCCGCGUGAGUGAAGAAGGUUUUCGGAUAGUAAAACUCUGUGGUUAGAGAAGCGGUCUCUAACCAGAAAGCCACGGCUAACUACGUGCCAGCAGCCGCGGUAAUAC
rnacentral:rRNA from 1 species